rnacentral:rRNA from 1 species
ACGUGGGUGACCUGCCCCGAAGACGGGGAUAACCGUUGGAAACGACGGCUAAUACCCGAUAUACUCGGUGAUUCGGUUCAUCGAGUAAAGGCUCCGGUGCUUCGGGAUGGGCCUGCGGCCUAUCAGCUAGUUGGUGGGGUAAUGGCCCACCAAGGCGAAGACGGGUAGGGGGCGUGAGAGCGCGGCCCCCCACACUGGCACUGAGAUACGGGCCAGACUUCUACGGAAGGCAGCAGUCGGGGAUAUUGCACAAUCGGCGAAAGCCGGAUGCAGCGACGCCGCGUGGGCGAUGAAGGCCUUCGGGUUGUAAAGCCCUUUUAUGGGGGAAGAGACAAGGACGGUACCCCAAGAAUAAGCGUCGGCUAACUACGUGCCAGCAGCCGCGGUAAAACGUAGGACGCAAGCGUUAUCCGGAUUUACUGGGCGUAAAGAGCGUUGAGGCGGUUCCGUAAGUUGGGCGUGAAAGCCCCGGGCUUAACCCGGGGAGGUCGUUCAAUACUGCGGGACUUGAGGGCAGCAGAGGGAGGCGGAAUUCCCGGUGUAGCGGUGAAAUGCGUAGAUAUCGGGAGGAACACCAGUGGCGAAGGCGGCCUCCUGGGCUGUUUCUGACGCUGAAGGCGAAAGCUAGGGGAGCGAACGGGAUUAGAAACCCCGGUAGUCCUAGCCGUAAACGAUGGAUGCUGGGUGUGGGGGGUAUAGAUCCCCUCCGUGCUGAAGCUAACGCGUUAAGCAUCCCGCCUGGGGAUUACGGCCGCAAGGCUUAAACUCAAACGAAUUGACGGGGGCCCGCACAAGCAGCGGAGCGUGUGGUUUAAUUCGAUGCUACACGAAGAACCUUACCUGGGCUUGACAUGUAGGUAGUAGUGAAGCGAAAGCGGAACGACCCUUCGGGGAGCCUACACAGGUGCUGCAUGGCUGUCGUCAGUUCGUGCCGUGAGGUAUCGGGUUAAGUCCCGUAACGAACGCAACCCUUGCCCUUAGUUACAUGUGUCUAAGGGGACUGCCCGGGACAACUGGGAGGAAGGUGGGGAUGACGUCAAGUCAGCAUGGCCUUUAUGUCCAGGGCUACACACACGCUACAAUGGCCGGUACAAUGGGUCGCCAAGCCGUGAGGCGGAGCCAAUCCCCCAAAGCCG